rnacentral:tRNA from 1 species
GCCUUCGUGGUGUAGUAGUCAGCACGAUGGGCUCGUAUUCCCGAGGUCCGUGGUUCGAGUCCCAGCGAACGCG